GUAUUCAAGGCUCUACCUCACUUAUCCCUGCACCAGGGAUGGCAAAUUGAUCUCAUCUCAUGAGGCACUCCUGAGGUCAGUUGAAAAGAUGUGGGCUGUGAUUGAUGAAUGCUGUCUCACUUGGGUGGAGGACUAGGAGCAGGAUACUGGUGCCAGGAGUCUGCCAAACUGCCUGGCAUCCUUACAUACUUCCUGCAAUCCAUAUGGAAGGCCACGCGCCACUUCCCUCUCCUCCUACUUGUGGUGCAGGAUACACGCAGAGACAUUUGCUUCUGCCUCUACCCUGGUGGCUCAGUGGUAAAGAAACUGCCUGCCAAUGAAGGAGACACAGGUUCAAUCCCUUGGUCUGGAAGAUCCCUUGGAAAAGGAAAUGGCAACCCACUACGGUAUUCUUGCCUGGGAAAUUCCAUGGAGAGAGGAGCCUGAGAGAAAGACAAGGAAAAUUAUGGAAAUAUAUAGAUUUUCCUUGGGCAAGGGGAGCUUUCUACAACAUGCCUAAGAAAAAGAAGACAGAAAAUUAAAACCAAGCGCCCAGGCAACAAGUUUCCUUUCUUUCAACAAAGCCUCAAGAAACUGAAGCUGGACAUGAUGCACAAAAUAGAAGAAAUUCAAAAGAAAAUGUAGCAGCUCUUGGGCAUGGGAGGGGCUCCCCUAUCCUGCUGCAAGUCAUUUGAGAACCCUGGCUCUCGAAGUGUGGUCCCCAGGCCAGCAGCCUCAGCAUCACCUGGAAAUUUGUUAGAGGCAUGUCGGGGUUUGGCUGGGCUUGGCUUCUGGUGGCUGACUGGGUUUAUGU
ensembl:lncRNA